UAGGCCUUGGACUUGGCAGUGCCAUGUGCUUUUUAAGCAUGCACUGGUGCCACAGUGGAAAACGGACUUGCAGGCAGUUAACAGACCAACAUCAAAUGAACCGAACUUCUUUCUGAGGAUUGAUAUGAUUACAGUUAGUCCUACAAAGUCUGUGAUUGGAGCGCUUUUCCUAGCAGCUGUCGGUUUUUCAUAUUCACUGUGUGUUCUGUCUUCUGUCUGUGAUCAAUGGAUAGCAGACUGCUGCUAUAGGUAAUCAAUUGGUGUUUUCUUCCAUAAAAUUUCUUAUUCUGCAGAGUCUCCAUUUUUGUCCAAGUCCAAUGAAGUCUUGCUGAUCUCCACUGAUAGAAUUCAGAAUAUGUGUUGUGGUAAUUAGAAAGCUUGGAGGAGUUCACCUUAAAAUGUAUUCCAACCGCCUCAGUUCAUCACAUGCUUAUCUUAAGACCUGUUUCAGUACUGUUGCCUCCUCAAGAGAUCAGCACUAAAUAAAUUGUAAAUGGACUUGA